rnacentral:rRNA from 1 species
UACUACCGAAGCUACGGCAUCAGUAAUGAUGGGUAGGGGAGCUUCCCAUACGGGUUGAAGCAUGACCGUAAGGACAUGUGGACAGUAUGGGAGUGAGAAUGUUGGCAUGAGUAGCGAGAUGUGGGUGAGAAUCCCACAGGCCGUAAACCCAAGGUUUCCAGGGGAAGGUUCGUCCGCCCUGGGUUAGUCGGGACCUAAGCUGAGGCCGAAAGGCGUAGGUGAUGGACAACAGGUUGAUAUUCCUGUACUACCGAUAACCGUUUGAGAGAAGGGAUGACACAGUAGGAUAAGCUAAGCACACUGUUGGUUAUGUGUGCCCAAGCAUUGAGGCAGUCAAAGUAGGCAAA